rnacentral:lncRNA from 1 species
CUUGUGUUGAAAUAUUGUGAAGUAGGAUUAUAGUAGAGAGUAUAUUAUUUCCUAAAAGGUAUUUUCAGUUGGUUACAUUUGGAUUGAAACCUUAUCACUACAUAUUUGCUUGUACAGUGGCUAAUGAUUAAAAAUGUUGAAAGGUGAGUAUACUGUUAGAUCCCGAAUUUCUGUCUAUGAUAUUCUAAGGAAUCGUUUUGUUGAGGAUUGUGAUGUCUUAGCAGUGAACAUAACUGACUUUCAGUCUUGUUGAAAAUAUUCUCUAUAUUAAAUCAGUGGUUAUAUUAAAGAAUGAACAUUGUGUAAUAGUUUCAAGUGAAGAGACAGAGGGCAGUUACUAAUGGUGUGUGCACACUCAUGCUUGCAAAUAUAGUUUGUUUUUAUUAUAUGUUUACUCCUUGUCAGCUGACUGAGUAACAAGUAGCUGCUCAAGUACAAGUCCUCUACAACCUGGUUGUAAGUUGGAAAAUAAAAGAUGCAGAUCAAUUGUCAAAGGCAUUUUAGCAUAUCUCCGUGGUGUCAUUUGUGUCUGUUGCUCCAUCUCCAUCAUUAUUAGCAUUGCUGGUUAUUUGCAUAAUACCUACAAUGAGUCCCCUAGAGUUUUAUCACAAACAUAAAGAGCAGCCUUAAGUGUUAGUUCUUUGUAGUGGGUAGACUUUGUCUAAUCAUACAAUAUCAUAAAACUCUUCUUCCUUUGAAAGCUGCUUUGGAGCACUCACAUAUAAGAUCAUGUUUUCAAAAAGCAGUUUAUAAAUGCAGAAUAUAGUACCUUUUGUCAAAGAUCUUUACAGUCCAGCUGGUAUUAUGAAGGUACUAUGUUUGAGACAGGCAAAAACAAAUAUGGUGUAUGUAGAAAAGGGGCAUAUAUGUAAGAGAACAUGAUCCAGAAGUAUUUGAAAUGUAUGCAAAGUAUGAGUCAAACACUAUGUGCAAAAUAACCAAGCUUUUAUGUCUCUCAUUAGUAUGUUAGCAGAUAAACUGAAUAUGACUCCAGAAGAAGCUGAAAGAUGGAUUGUGAAUUUGAUUAGAAAUGCAAGGUUGGAUGCCAAGAUUGAUUCUAAACUAGCUCCCAACUGGGCAACCCAAGAUUCUGGCUUUUAUUAAAGAAUUAUAAAGAAAACAAGUAAAAGGAAUCCAUGAAAGUCACAGUAACCUUUAUGCAUAAAGGAUGACAUACAUUUUUAGAAGCAAUUUACAUGUUUGCUAUAAAUUUUGGAAAAUUUGAAUAAAAUUGGCUAUGAU